AAGGUAAUCAGAUUAUUAGGCUGAGGGAAUUUGCCAGACACAAACCAUCUGGAUAUGGCAAGGGACUUGGUGAAGGUCUUUCCAACUGCCACUGUUCACAAGAGAAUUGGGACAAGACCACCUUUAGUGAUGUGGAUUCCCAACCGGCCUCGAGGCUGUGUCCAGCAGUGGGAUGAAGUACUGAGCUGCCAGGCAACGUCCAGGGGCUGAGUUGACUUACAAAGUUGUGUUAAUCUCAUGUGUACAACAAAGUAAAUCAGUUAUACCCAUAUUCGUUCCUUUUCAGAUUCCUUCCCCGUGCAGAUUAUUACACGGUAUUGAAUUUCCCUGUGCUCUGCAGUUGGUCCUCAUUACCCCUGUUUUAUAUACAGUAGUGUUGAUGUUAAUCCCAACCUCCCGACCUCCGCCUCUGCCACUACAUAUCCCCUUCGGUUACCGUAAGUUUGGUUUCAAAAUCUUUGAAUCUGUUUCGGUUUGUAAGUUCUACUCUAUCAUUGCUAUUAGAUUCCACAUAUUAGUAAUCUCAUAUGGUAUUAGUCUUUCUCUUUUGACUUACUUCACUAUGAUAAUUUCUAAUUUCUAUACACACUACUAUAUAUAUAUAUAUAAAAUAGGAGUAAUGAGGACCAACUGCAGAGCACGGGAAAUGCAUUCAAUUCAUUCAUUUUAAUUGGAUAAUCUAUCAAAUUUCUAUGAUAAUUUCAUGUUGCUGCAAAUGGGCAUUAUUUCCUUCUUUUUUAUGGUUGAAAAGUUUUCCAUUAUAUCUACGUACCACAUCUUCUGCAUCUGUCCAUGGACAUUUAGGUUGCUUCCAUGUCUCGGCUAUUGUGAAUAGUGCUGCUAUGAACAUUAACCCACUCCCUUUUGUCAUGACGGAAUCAUCAAGUGCCAAAAGCAACUGGACAGGAUGAGACUAGGAAAAGAUUAAAACAUCAGGAGGACAAAUGUCACAUCCUAAAUUUAGGUCAUAGGAACCAAAUCCACGAUUUCAAGCUGCAGGUGACACGAGGUGGUAAUAGGACAGGCUCAUUCAUCAGCAACACAACAAAAGGGACUCAAACAUCAGCUUGAGCCCAAUAACAGCGUUACCUCGAAAGGCCAAUUAGGGCUUACACUGCAUGACCCAAAAUGAGAAAGCAAGAUGGUAUCUGUUGUUUGGUGUGCAGUUCUGGCUGCUACAUCUCUAAGUAACUUUAAGGAGACCAGUAACCAGGUAGAAGGGCUAGUGGGAAGAUCAGGAAUUAUGUUCACAAGUACAAAGCACACAGCCUCAUUCUGAACUGUUAGCUUUUGUGAAAGGUCUGCAUUUCAAACUGGAUAUGACAUCAGAUGAUCACCGACAAAGACUCAAGUCGGCCAAAGAAUUUUUCAGAAAGUGAGAAGUUCUUCAAAGACACUGAAAUUGUGUGUGUAUGUGAAGGUACUCCUGGAAAAGAGUUAUUUAAAUGAUGGGAAUGUAUUAAAAGCAGUAACUUUUAGAGAGCACCCCCUGCCUACUGCUGGAUUUCAAGAUUAAAAAGUCAAACCUCAGCCAAGAGUAAGUUGACAGGUUACUCAAUUUCUGAGUUUGGAAGGUAAUCUUCACAACUGACUGUAAUGACAGGAUUUUGAAAUCAGAUCCCAAACCAGUCUCGGGUUUGUCCUGCAGUUCCUUAUUUUCCAUAACUCUGGCUAAUGGAAUAUACAUUAGUUAUGUAAAUGAGCUCUCACUAAAAGUGAAAUACAGGAUCUUAGUCAUCUUUUCUUAGAUAAAAUUGUCUAUUGUUGGUUAUUAACCUGCCUACAUAUAAAAGAGUAACUUUAAAAAUGUGAUCGUUGCAUAAGAGUUUUCCUUUACCCCGUGGGUCAAAUGAGGGGAAAUUCCAUGGCCCAGAAUAAAAUGUAUGCUGUUUCCCCGGAAGAGACUCUGUUUCCACAAACUGUGACAACAGCAUUCUCGGACAAGUAGUGUCUUUCUUUUCUCACACUUAUUUAAUAAAGUGAUUCACUGUGAAGCUCCCUGAAGUAGGGGCUAUUGGUUUUGACAUAACCUAACCCACAUCUUUUUUUCCUCUCUGGGAUCCUGAAGUCAUUGUGUGCCUUAACUCAAAAGCUGUUGCAGAGUGGUUCAUCUAAGUAAACCAUACUGCAUGCUGCAUGAUGGGAGUCUCAUAAAGAUGAUACAGACACUUUAUCCCAAGAGUCAAUCUCCUGGAGCAACACGUGCAUAGAACACAGGAGAGUCAAGGGAAAAUUCUACUAGGAUUCGACCCAAAGCCUUCAGAGGAACCACCAAAAGAACAUGAGGUAUCCACCAACUGAUGAAUGGGUGAACUAAAUGUGAUACAUUUCCACGCAAUGGAGUAUUACUGGGCCA
rnacentral:lncRNA from 1 species